UGGGACUUUAAGGUGGUAUAGCCUGACUCUGAAUUUCAUCCUCACAUUGGUGAACUAGUGUGAAAAGCUCUUAACUUUGGAAGACCUGGCUGAGUUCCUGCAAGCGCUCCUUUUCACCCACUGUUUUCAUUUGGGUCAUCACUAUCCCCUCUGAACCUGUUUUGUGAUGGAUACAAUGGGAAUAAUACUUGUCCAUCUGUGUCUUAGAAUGUGAUACUCAUACCAUUUCUGAGAAAUUUAUAAAAGAGUGCUUUAUUUUGUUUGGAAGCCCUUGAUCCUUUGGGUAUUUUCUCUCAAUAGGGACAUCAAGGAGGCACCUCAAACCCCUAAUAUCUGUUCCUGAAGAAGAAGAAGGAGGGGAAGGGAAAGGAGAAAAUGUUUUAUAAAUUGAAAAAUGCAGUCUAAAGACAGUAUAAAGUGCUCUAAUAUUGUUAGCAGGAAACAACUCCCCCUCCUUCAAAAGUUUUUUAAUUGAUACCUUAGGACCAGGAAAUUGCUCUACUCUUCUAUUUGCUGUCCUGUCCUAUUUUGCAAAAUCUUACUCUUCCCAAAAGUCCCCUCUCAAAUGCUGCUGCUUCUUUAAGCUUUUCUGAUUCCCCUCUCACAUUAGAUUGGGUAUCAUAGUGGUUUUUUUGUGCUUAUUCUAUAACUAGAAUGAAAGCUUCUUCAGAGGUUGUUGUGAUGAAACUUUUAGGAGAAGGCCUUGCACAUUGUAGUUGCUCAGUAAUAUUUGUUAAGUUGAUAUUGGGGGCGAUGCAUUUUUUUUUUUUAGUAUUGUUUCUCAAUUCCUUCCUUAUAAUUUUGCUUUGAGUUAUUUACCUAGAGUUGAAACAAUAGUGUGGGGAAAAAAGUCUUUAACUUCAAAUGUCUUUCAGUACAUAUAUUUUUUAUUAAUUGGAAUCAGAGCAGUUGAAAAAAAAGUGGUAUUUUAAAAGUUGUAGCUUAUUUUAUAAAUCAGCUCAGCUGCACAUCUUGACUUUUAAAUCUUAUUUUCCAUUCAUAUUUUUUCUAGUGAUCAUAUUUAAAUAUUCAAAGUUAAGAACUGAGUUUUGGGCAAAUGAUUCCUCAAAAAAUUAUAUUUAUUUAUUUUUAUAUUUUUUAAUGUGUAUUUUUUUUUGAGAGAGAGAGAGACAGAGUACGAGCAGGAAAGGAACAGAGAGACAGAGAGGGAUACACAGAAGCGGAAGCAGAAUCCAGGCUCUGAGCUGUCAGCAUAGAGCCCAAUGUGGGGCUUGAACCCAUGAACCAUGAGAUCACGGCCUGAGCCGAAGUCAGAUGCUUUUCCAACUAAGCCACCCAGGUGCCCCCAAAAUUAUAUUUAUUUAAAAAAAUUUUUUUUAAUGUUUUUAUUUAUUUUUGAGACAGAGACAGAGCCUGGACAGGGGAGGGGCAGAGAGAGAGGGAGACACAGAAUCCACAGCAGGCUCCAGGCUCUGAGCUAUCAGCACAGAGCCUGACAUGGGGCUUGAACUCAUGGACUGUGAGAUCAUGACCUGAGAUGAAGUUGGACACUCAACCAACUGAACCACCCAGGCACCCCAAAAUUAUAUUUAUUUUUUAAAAGGAAGUUUAUUUCAAUUUACUCAUGGCAAAUCAAUUUUUAGAAGAAAAGUGUGUUGUCUUAAAGAUUGAUGACAUAUUCAAGCUGGUGACCAGAGCAUUCCUACCUUCUUUCAAAAGUAGGUGUAGGUGUCAUGUGAACAAUGAUGCAUCACAUUUUAUUUUCUACUACUAGAGUGUUCCGACGUGAUAAAAAUCAUCGUUUACAAUAUUAUGAUCAAAAAGAAAAGGUAUUUAUUGGCUGAGAGGCUUGUGUUUCUAGAUCUUUGGAAUUAUGAUGGAAAUUUUGACAGAAUCAUAAACCAAGUUGACAUUAAUGGGAAUUGCUUCCAUUAUGAUCUUGUCUAGCCUUAUUAGAAGGUCAUUUGGAAACUUUAGAUAAUCAGAUGGUUCUAUGACCAAGUAGAAAUAGUGCUUUAUCUUUUGUGUUUUAACCUUUGGGUGCUCCCACCAAGUGUAGUUUUAGUGUGUAUCCUUCCUUUGACUGUUAACACCUCUUACAAUGAUUACUAGUCUAGUCACUGUGACUAGCUGACAUUUCUGUUAUUACUGACUUUCAUAAAGGUUAUCAAUUGAUGACAAUGCUCCUGAAGUCUCUAGCUAGGUAGUCACUUUUUGCUUUUCUUAGCCUUCUACCGUCACCCCUGCAUGAAUCUCUAUAGUGGUGGUGGUCCUUACCUCUAAUCCUAACGUGAAGGAAUGUGGAAUGGGGCAAAGAGAACAGAAAGCUCAAUGCUAGCAUUGGCUCUGACCACUAAUGAGCUUUAAAGCUUUGAGCAAAUGAUUUCUGAUCAGUAAUAUGUAGGUUGCAUUAGGUAAUUUUAAAGAUGCCUCUGGCUCUGAGAUUCUGUAAUUCAUCAAAAUUCAUCUGCCAGAAUGGCACUGUAAUAAUUAGGUAGACUGACAGCUGGAUGCAGGGAAAUGACAGAGCCAGAAGCUUCAGUCUACACUAUCCCUGGUGAACAUUCAUGUUUGCAUAUUUUAAUAACAGUAUUCUCGGCAUCCCACCUCUACCCAAUCACUUACUUAGCAAGAAGCUUUGUCCCUCUUAACAUUUUACAACUAUGUAAUUUAAUGAAAUUCAUUAGUACCAACAAAAGGAGUAACAGUGAUAUUUUAAUAUACCUUUAUUAUCAUUCCUUGUAUUUGAGAAACCAAUUGAAAGACUUUUAGCUUUGACUUCUAAGGAAGAAAAAAAUCGCCUGUCUUUAUUUAAUGGAGGAAAAAAGAUCUCCAAUAAAGAAUAAUGCCCCAGAAUUGUCAUUCAUUUCACACUUGCUCCUCUUUAGGCAUGCAGAACCUCAUGUGUUCUUAGGCAUAAAAUGGAAGGUGACACAUUAAAUGAAGGGUCUUUCUGAAAAAUAAAGUAGACAAAAUCACUUUACUCUCAAGAAUAGUUGUGAAGUGAAAACCAAAAAUAAUAGCUUAUUCAUAGUCAAUAUUUGGAAGUAUUUCUUAAGUCCAGAAAGGUCAGAGGGAAAUCCAGUAAAUGUCAACACUGUUUGUCAGGUGGGGAGAUUCACAGCAUCUCCUGAGAAAUUUAAUUUAUAUUAAUGAGGAGUGAAACCUGCCUAGGGCUGUCUCAGAGAUUGCUCUGGUGUCAAUUUUAAUGAUCUAACUUCAUGAAAAGGAUUUUUACCAAAUUAUUCAGCAAGACAACCUCAUAUGAGAUUACUUUUUAAUUGUGAGGCCUCAGCUACUUUGACCCCUGCUGAACCACAGUCACACAUGGGGGCUUCUUGCCUCACUAAAUUGAUAACUUGCUGUCACUUCUGACCCUUUUUGGGUUCUUAGGGGACCAUGCCAAUCCAAGUGAGAUUCUGACAGUAAAGUUCUACUUCAAUUCAGCAGACAUUCAUGAAGACCUCUAACUGAGGCAAUGUGGGAGUGACAGCAAGGGCUACUGUUUAUAAACACUUAGUGUUCCAGGUGCCCUACUAAGCAUUGUAUAUGGCCAAUUUCUAAUCUGUAACUUCACGGAAUUACAGAGGAGGAGAUAAGGAUUCAAAGAUGUUAAGUUUGUUUGCCCAGGAUCAUACUGUUAAGUGAUUGGCAGAAACAGGAUUUGAGAAGUCUGUUUGGCUUUCAAAUUCCAUGGUUUUUCACUCCUCCCCUAUUUCUUGGGUUUUUCCUUUACUCAUGGAAUGUUUCAAAGUUCAUAACAGCUUCCAUUUAUCUAGCAAAGGUAUGUUUCAGACAUUGUGCUUGGUGUUUUAUUAUGUAAACCUCUGGAAGAGAUGACACUGGCCCCACUUAUGAGUGAAGAAGGAGGGCUGGAGGGUUAAGCAGCUUGCCCCAAUUCAGACAACUCCAAAAUAAUGAGGCUAGGAUUCUAACCUCUUCCCAACCUACAUUCUUACUGUUAGAGAGCUGUGACUAAUAGUGCUGUGUCCUGGGUUGGUAGAAAGGUGACAAAGCCAGUUCUCUAUACUCUAGUAAGUAGCAAGAAGUCCACUGGGUUCAGAUGGACACAAACUCAAGUGUCUAUAAAACCAAGCAGAAUGAUGUAGAUGUGAAAUGAAGUGAUUUUUAAAAGGUGCUGGGGAAGCAAAGAGGCAAGAAAAUUAAUGCCAGAUAAAAGGUACAGAAUGGUUUUGCCAAUAUGGAGGCAUUUAAUGAAUCGGAUUGCAGAAUACAGAGAAUGCAAGGAAACACACUUCAGGCCAAGGAACUAGUUUCCCCUAGAGUACAACUUUGGCCGUAUUUCCUACAUUUGAAUGCAUAGUGGUUUUGUUAUUAAUUUCAAAUAGUUUGUAACUUAGUUUUAAUUUUCUCACUGGUUCAUGACUCAAUUUCUAUUGUCAGAGUCUAUAACUGGUUAGAUUUUUUUGUUUAUUAAGUUGUUUUAUUUGUAUUGUUUUGGGUCAGAGAAAAUUACUGAACUUCUUGGUUUAGGAAUUCAUUGAGGUUUUUUGUGUGCUCUAUUAAAUGAUCAACUUUUAUAAAUGUUCCAUGGAUAUUUGAAAUGAAUAUGCAAAUAUAGAUACAUUUUCUAAAGAGUCAAAGGAUUGGAUUGAAUUAUUCUAAUUGGAUUGGAUUAUUCUAAUCUUCACAUAUUUUUUCUUUGAGGAAAUAAAUCCUGAGAUGAGAGUUUCUCACUGGUAUUUUGGAUUGAAUAAAUUCUAUAUUUCUCAGUUUUUAAUUCAUGUAAUUAGAUGCUAUGUGUUUUGGUGUAUAAAAAUGUGGGAUUAUUAUGUCUUCUUAGAUUAUACUUGCUAAUCAGUAUAAAAUAUCUAUCUUAGGGCAUCUGGAUGGCCCAGUCAGUGAAGCAUCUGACUUUGGCUCAGGUCAUGAUCUCGCGGUUCAUGAGUUCAAACCCCGUGUCAGGCUCUGUGCUGACAGCUCAGAGCCUGGAGCCUGCUUCAGAUUUUGUGUCUCUGUCUCUCUCUGCUCCUCUCCUGCUUGUACUCUGUCUCUCUCUCUCUGUCAAAAAUAAAUAAACAUAAAAAAUUUUUUAAAGUAUCUAUCUUGUUUCAUUUAACUUUUGUGAACUAAAUUUAUUGUAAAAUAGGAGCCUGGGAGAUUCAGGCUUCUGGUUAUGGAAUGAGUUAGUCAUGGGAAUAAAAGAUGCAGCAAAGGAAUACAGUCAGUGAUCAUUGUAAUAGUGAUGUAAGGGGGCAGGUGGUAGCUAUACUUGUGGUAAACACAGCAUAAUGCAUAACUUGUCAAAUCACUAUGACAAGUAUGCCUGAAACUAAUGUACCAUUGUGUGUCAACUAUGCUCAAAUUAAAAAACAAAAGAUUAAAAAUUUACUGUCAAACAAAUGUGGUCAUAGCUUAUCUGUUUACAUACGAGAUGCAUUGUACUCACCACCCUUUUGUGUCAUAUUAUUUUAGGAUGAUUUUUUAUAUUCACAGUUUUUUACUCCUUUAAAAAAUGUAGCCUAUUAAUAUAUAUUUUGAUUGCUCAUAUGGUCCUAUGCCUGUCAUUUAAUUUUGUAUAUUCUGAUACUUUUGGGGGGUGUUUUAUUUUAGCUUUUUCUUUCUUUCACUUCACUGAUUUCUUUUAAAAAUUCUUGAAAAUUAUUAUUCAUUUUCUUUUCUACUAGUGAUGGUCCUUUAAUCAAUACACAUAUACUUAAUCAAUAUAAAAAAUAAAAAUAUCUAUAACCUCUAAACAAAUAAGAAGACAUAUUUAGCAUGCUUUAAUUUAUCCUUUCUUACAUUUACCUCUUCCUUAAUACUUCAAAUAUUUUAUAGACAUAACCUGAAAAUUUAUUUUCACAUCACCAUCCAUGUAGAUAUAUUUUACCUAUAUGUUUUGUCUUAAAAAAAAAAAAACAUUUUCAGGGGUGCUUGGGUGACUCAGUUGGUUAAGCAUCUGACUUUGGCUCAGGUCAUGGUCUCAUGGUUCAUGGGUUUGAGCCCCGCGUCGGGCUCUGUGCUGACAGCUCAGAGCCUGGAGCCUGCUUCGGAUUCUGUGUCUCCCUCUCUCUCUGUUCCACCCCCACUCACACUCUGUCUCUCAAAAAUAAUAAAUAAACAUUAAAAAAAACCCAACCCCCCCCCUCACAUUUUCUUGAUAAUUACGUGAACAUUUACAGCCACAGUGAAGUAAUUUAACUUUGUUUUACUGGGUUCAUUGCUCCCAUUUUGUGCCUGCUAUCUCACCAUUUCUUGAGUUUUUUAUUGGAUUACCAUUUGUCACUUGGCUGGCGUAAGUUUUCUCCCUCAAGUAGUUGUUAUAGAAAGAGUAAAUGAGUGGACAAUAUUAUUGGUACCAUCAGUGACUUUCAUAGCAUUGUACCUACUAAUCAGUUCUUUGCCCUCAUCUUACCUAAGCUUUCUAUAGCAACUGACAAUCACUUUCUCUUGUCUUCAUUUGGUUUCUAAGAUGCCACUUUUUAAAAAUUCUUUUGUCUUAACUAUAGAGAACAAUCAGAUGGUUACCAGAGGGGAGAUGGGUGGGGUGGGGUGGGGGAUGGGUGAAAUAGGUGAAGGGGGUUAAGAGUACACUUAUCUUGAUAAGCACUGAGUAAUAUAUGGAACUGUUGAAUCACUAUAUUGUACACCUGAAACUAUAUAACAUUGUUAUGUUAACUACACUGGAAUUAAAAAAAAAAUUAAUUCUCCUUUUAGCUCAUUGGACACUAUUUCUUGGCUGGUUCUUCUUUAUCUCCCUAGUCUCUUUAUGUUGAAAUGUCUCAGCGCUUGUUUUUCAACUCCAUUUUCUUCUGUUUUCUUUCAUUCCCUAGGUGAUCUCAUUCAGGUCUAUGGCUUUAAAUGCCAUCUAUAUAUAGCCAAAGUUACAUCUUUUGCUUUCACAUCUCCUGUGAAUGAAUACUUGAUAUCUUGAAAUUAACAUGCCCCAAACUGAACUCUCAUUUUCCCUACCCAAACCUGAACUUUCCUAAGUAUUACUCCUCUUAUUAAGUGUCAAAUCUAGCAUUCUACUUGCUUAAGCCAAAAACAUUGGAGUCUUGCAGUUCAUCAAGCAAAAUAAAACUUUGGGUUGUCAAAUUCACUGAAAAAUCUUGUAAGCUGUAUCUUACAAGAUAUAUCCAGAAUUGGACCAUUUCUUUCUUUUUAUGUUUAUUUAUUUAUUUUUUUAGAGAGACAGAGAGACAGAAUGAGUGGGGAAGGAGCAGAGAGAGAGGGAGAGAGAGAACCCCAAGUUGGGUCCAUGCUGUCAGUGCAGAACCCAAUGUGGGCUCUAUCCCAUGAACCGUGAGAUCAUGACCUGAGCUGAAAUCAAGAGUCAGACGCUUAACUGACUGAGCCACCCAGGCACCUCCAGAAUUGGACCAUUUCUUGCCAUCAUCCUGGUUACUACCCUUGUCCAAGCUACUAGUGUUUAUUUCUGUUAUUGCAUAGCUUCCUAGCUGGUUUCUCUACUUCUGCCUUUGGCCCCCUACAGCCCAUUCUCCACACAGCAGCCAGCCAGCAUCUAUUUCACUAAGAGUAAAAGUCCAUAUCCAUAUGAUGGUCUAUAAGAUCUGUACCCACCCCCCACUCUGAGCUCAUCUUCCCUUAACACUCUCCUCCUCACCUACUCUUCUCUAGCCACAUCGAUCGCUUUGUUGUUCCUCCUUCAUAACAAGUGUUUAUUUCAAGGACUUUGCAUUUGCUGUUCCUUUAGUGUGAAUGCUUUCCCUCACAUUUCAACUGGGCUCUCUCCUUCACUUCCUUCAGGUCUCUGCUCAUAGGCUGCCUUAUCCCUUAUCUCCAGUGCUUGGAAUGUGCCUCACAUGUUGUAAUUCCUCAAUAAACAUUUGUUGAUGUCUGUGCAUAGUUGAAAAAUGUUUUAAUCAAGACUGGGCAUAAAAUUUUACAUCCUAAUCCUUUUUUCUGAGAACUCUGAUCAGACCAAUUUUUAAGAAUCUUUUGGGGAGAAGAUAUUUAAUAAAUGGUAGCAAUUAUUUUUAAGGAUGAUAUUUUCUAUUUGACUAUCAUAUUUAUCCAGUAAACAUUUAUUAAGGGUAUACUAUAUAUUGGGCAUGUGUUAGGUGUGUUUAUGAAGAAGAUAAAGAUGUGUAACAUAAGCCAUUUAUUCUCUAGGAGUUUAUACUCUAAUGGGGGGAUAUUAUAUUAGGAAUUAUGGAUAAAUAACAUUGUAAAAUAUGUAUGUAUGUUAUUGGUAUAUAUUUAUAUCUACACUUACAUUUAUCUUUACCAAGUUCUCUUUGUAUCCAUCCAUCCAUCCAUACAUCCAAUCAGUGGAGGCUUGUUUCCAUUUUUUCACUGAAUUGAGGAGGGAAAAAAAAAAGUCUUGGAUGAACCUGCUCUGGAUAAGCAUUGGUUGAUGAUUGUAGUGGGUCAGGCAGCUCUGUUGUUUAAAAAGGUGUUGCAGAGACCUUUUUCAGAAGGAGUGCAUGAAUGAAAUACUUUUCCGGUGUGGACCAAGGCUAAAGCUCUACUCACCUAUAGGUUUUGUAAUGUUGCUCUAGAUAAUGUGUACUGUUAAAUUAUGAUUCACCUAUAUGAUAAAAUAGUAUGAAGUUAUUACAUCAUUCUAAAAGAGUAUUUGACAUUAAAAAAAUUUUUAGGUAGGGGAAAAUUCAUAUAAAAUAUUACUUAGUAUAAUAUUUAUAUGUAUUAAAAAUGACUGGAAGAGAAUAUGCCAAAAAGUUCACAGUAGCUGUUUUGGGAUAAAGGGAUUAUAGCUGGUUUGGAUUGUAUGCUUUAUGUGUUUCUGUUUUUCUUAAGUUUUCUAAUAUAAAUAUUUAUUACUUUUUUAAAAUUGUGGUAAAAUCCCUUGUAUGUGAUGAUUCACUUUUCUCUUGCUGCUUUCAAAAUUCUCUCUUUGUCUUUUGAAAGUUUGAUUAUACUGUGUCUUAGUAUGCAUCUCUUUGAGUUCAUUUUGUUCGGGAUUCCUUGGGUUUCUUAGGUGUUUAUAUUCAUGUUUUUUUUAUCAAAUUUGAGAAGUUUUCAGCCAUUAUUUUCUCAAGCGUUCUCUCUGCCCCUUUCUCUCUUUUUUGGAUAAUGAAAGCAUCCAUUUUUCACUUUAUAAUGAAAUAAUAUUGAGGGUAUUAUAAAAUUGUUUUCUAGUGAAUGAAUGGAUGCCAAGGAAAGAGAGAACUGGGCAUUGUGUGGAUGGACAAGAAUUUGUUUGCUGGUUACCUACCCCAACUCUUCUGGGUAUGGAGGUAGUGUGGAUAGUGGAUGUGGCAUACUAUCCAGCAUUCUAAGACAAUGUUUUCAAAGUGUGGUCCUCGGGUGCCUGGGUGGCGCAGUUGGUUAAGUGUCCGAUUCUUGAUUUCAGCUCAGAUCAUGAUCUCAUGGUUGGUUGUGAGAUCAAGCCCUGCAUCUGGCUCUGUGCUGGGCAUGGAGGCUGCUUAAGAUUCCCUGUCUCCCUCUCCCUCUGCCCCUCCCCUGCGAGCUCACUCUCUCUCUCUCUCUCUCUUGCACACACAUACUCUCUCUCUCUUUCUCUCUCUCUC